rnacentral:lncRNA from 1 species
AGGAUGGGUGCCUGCUCUACCUGCGCUGAGGGAGGAGGCCAGUAGAGUGGACGAAGAGAGGCACCGAGCCCCACAGGGUGAAAAGAAACCUUGGGGUGCAGGCCGGGAGUGGGGCAUCAUGUUAUUUCAGUCUGUUGAUUUCUUGAAUUUCCCAGAAUUACUGGACCAGAAGAUAGAAACACUUGGUAAGAUUUUGGAUUUUUUUGGCUAGAAUCACUUCUAGAAAGGUUGCACAAAUUUGUACUCUCACCAGUU